rnacentral:rRNA from 1 species
AUUGAACGCUGGCGGUAUGCUUAAGACAUGCAAGUCGUGCGGUAGAAGGCUUCGGCCUUUGAGAGCGGCGGACGGGUGAGUAACACGUGGGAAUCUGCCUAUUAGUGGGGGACAGCCCAGCGAAAGCUGGAUUAAUACCGCAUACGCCCUACGGGGGAAAGCAGCAAUGCGCUAAUAGAUGAGCCCGCGUAAGAUUAGCUAGUUGGUAAGGUAAAGGCUUACCAAGGCGACGAUCUUUAGCUGGUCUGAGAGGAUGGCCAGCCACACCGGGACUGAGACACGGCCCGGACUCCUACGGGAGGCAGCAGUCGGGAAUAUUGGACAAUGGGCGCAAGCCUGAUCCAGCAAUACCGCGUGUGUGAAGAAGGCCUGCGGGUUGUAAAGCACUUUCAGUUGGGAAGAUAAUGACGUUACCAACAGAAGAAGCACCGGCUAACUCCGUG